GUUUAUAGUUGUAAAGUAAAAACCAUUAGCUUGUUACAUUCUAGGAAGAACAAAAAAACCUAAAGACAGAGUACUUUGCUAAAUACAAUAUUUUGAAUGCUUCAGAUUCUCUGCCAUCCCUGAAUUGUAUUUGAAGAGCUUCAGUACUACAGAAAAUAUACCUGAAGCACAGACCCAUUUAUUUUUCAUAAUUUCUCAUGCUAUAUUUGAAACCAAUCAUUAACUACUGCUGUCUCUAACUUCUCUUAUCAUGAAAAGGUUUGGCAUAGCCAGGACAGCUAACAAGGGUCAAGGAACAUUAAGCCAGUCUGCCUUUUGAUCUGGUAUAGCAUAGACCUUGCAGUUUUGCUGGUGGAGCUACUCCUAGCAAUAAGUUCAGACUAACAUGUCAGCAGGUUUGGACACCACUGACCACAAGGUUUUGUUGGGCCAGUCCUGCCGACUGACAAGACUAGACAGAAUCAUGCUUCAGAGAAUCGCACUUCUUGGGAGAUCCCAGAACAUCAUUUUGGGUAAUCACAGGAUUCUACUUUGUUACCCCUUUUUUAAAAAAUGUGUACAGGAGAGCGAGGGAGAGAGUUUGGGCUGUGUAGUCAUCAAUAUGCACGUAACAUGCAGCUCUGAUGUCAGACCCGGAUGAUGUGGUUCGUUAACUGGCCAAGAAAGGCACAGAUGAGAUCAAGCUGGCUAAAUGUCAAUCAGGUUGAAGACUGACAAUGCUGGUAUGUCCCAGGAGGCAUAUGAAGUAGGACAGAUUGACAAUAAACAAGCAUACACAGGGAAGAUAAAGUUCAUAAUCUGAAAGGCUUCUAUAUCUCAUCGUUUGUAGAUUCCCCAGAAUGAGACAGGUGGUGGCCAAAAGCCCCUUUUUAUCAACAUUCAGCUACACUUCCCACAAUCUUUAAGAUGCAGACCAUGCCACAAUCCAGUCUGGUACAGCUAACUGUUACAAUACGCUCCACAUGUGACUACCAUUGAAGGGCACUUGGAAGCCAUAGCUAGUGCAUUGCUCACCAUGUGGUGUUAGCUGCAGAGAGCUCAUCAUAUUAGUUUCUGGUUGUAAUUAAAGGUGUUUAUAUAAGUGUGGUUUGGGUCAUGGCCAUCUGAGAAGCUGUUUUUUUCCUCACAAUGUGCCACAAUGGUAGAGAUUAAUUGAGGCAUUUUAUGAACAAGUUUUCAAUGUCCUAAAGUUUGUUAGGCCAUUUUAUGGUGAAAGGUCCUCAAGAUCUGCACUUUGCUUCUCCUGUUGGCCUGAAGCACAACGCUUUUGAUCAUUAGGAUUUGGCAUAGAAUAGAUUUACUUCAUUUUGUACUUUGUAAAAAGAAAUCUGAACUAUGAAAGGGGGAAGAGUUAACUUGGAGACAUGAGGAGUCAGAACUAACUUCAGCAGCAUAUUAUGUAUUUGUUUUUAGAUUAUAGGAGUGCGUUCAAUGAACAUCUGAUAGGCACAGUCUCUAAAUUUACGUUAUUAGAUUAUAUGAGAGCAAGGGCUUACUCCUCCUUUCAACUUGAUCCUGCAGUAGAAGUCAUAAUGUUGACAGAGCUGUCUCCAUAGCAACAGUGUGUCUCACUUCACUGCAGGAUCUAGCAGGGGAAUCUUGGUAGAAGGAGAAAGCACUUAACUGAAUAUCAAGAUAAUAUACGAAAACAAGAAAAGGAAAAAAUUUAAUUUGGGCUCUCAGACUGAAGAACUUUUAAAAUAAGGUUUCCUAAAACAAGAAAUCACCACUUAAUAGUCAUAAAAGAAUUACAUUAACCCAUCUCUUGGUAUGUCUCAAUAGUCUUGUCUAGGAACUCCACAAAUUAUGUUCAGUUUACACAAGCCAAAUGUUGAGGCAGUUAAAACAGUUUUGGAUAGUGCUGAGAAUGAGGAUUUAACUGUGACCCUGGGGCAAUAAGUAGUAUGGGGAAAGAUUAUAUGAUGUAUUCACUAUGUUUAAGAGUGAUCUGUUGGAAAUCUAUAUAAAAGGUAUACUACCUUCUGGAAAGCAAGGAAUGGAGAAGGAAGCCAGUAAGAGUAUUAGGAUUCUUCCUGAAUUCUUUUUGUAUUUCAAAAAUGCUACAGAUUAUAGUACAACAGGAGGAGAUUCUGCUACUUAAGUACAAAUGGCCAAUCUGAAGAUUAAAUGCUGAAGACUGGAAAGCAAUGAGGGAACUGUGAGAUUUAACAGGUUUACAUCUGUAUCAAAGCUGACCACAACAUGCCAACUGCCCAAGAAUUGCAUGGGGAUAUACAUUCUAGAGAUUUUCCAGAAGAAAGAUAAGUCACUUAGGCAGCGCAGGUCCACGUGAGAACCUAAAAUUCUGAGACCACCAAGGGCUUAACAAAAGACCUGAAGAAAAUAAUUUCAAUUUGGAUUUAAGAUCGUGAUAUCACUGUGGCAAACUACAUUGUGCGCACUAAAGGUCUACUUGAAAAGGAUGUUCAUACUGUUACAUCAUCCUCCUGCUCUCCACUCCUACCCACUUAUUUUAUCCACCUAUUGAAUGUUUUCAUUAACUAAAGUUAAUAAGCUCCUGAGUGCAGGGAUUUACCAUUUACAACAUGUUUGCAUAAUACCUUGCAGAGUCCCGACUGGGGCCUCACGGCAGGACAGUAAUAAAAUAAGUUUGGUAUCCCUGUAUACAUUUAAGAGGUUUUUAGUAAUGCUGCACAUUACUUUUCAAUUGUGCUUCAGUUUCUCUUUUCUAUUUUUUUGGAUAUAGCCCUUUACUAAGCAUUAGUUUAAAGUGUCUUUUCCUCUUGGUUGCAGAAAGAUUGCUUUGUUUGAAUGAACAGUAAUAUACAGAAGGGGUUGGGGCUGGAAUCACAAACAUAUCUGCCUGAUAGCACAUUACCAGUUCUAAAAGAAGCCAGGGACAAACCUUAAGAGAUGGUAAACACUAAAAGCAUGGCUCAGAAUUUGGUGACAGCAAAAUCUUUAUUUACUUUACCUUCAACUGAAAAGAUUCAACCUACAUUGCGUAACUAGCUGAUGGGAGGGUGGGCCGGAAAAAUCAGAAAACGACAGCAACAAUACAUUUUAGUGCCAAAAUUAAAAUUAAGACAAUUAGCCAAAGGAUUAAGAAAAAAGGUUAAUCAAGCUAAUAAGUGGUUCCAGAAGACCAACAAGCUGGUAGGUGAGACAAUCAACACCAUCAGUUUUGCAAACAAAACUGAGAAAUAUAUUGAAUGAAAUGCUAAUGAGGAUCUGUCUAAACCUAUAGAUUAGCUAUAUAGAGCUAUUAAAAUGGUAGCCAGAUAAACAUAUCAGCAAACUAGAUGAUGGAAAUUGGAGGUUUCCUAAAGAAAUGAGGAUAAGAAGGAAAUAUAGAACGAAUAGUGGUAAUUAACUGUGAAUUUAUUAGGUGCCAGAGAACUGAAAAAGGAUAGAUUUAAUACCAAGAGUAAGUAGCAGAUCCAGGAAAUAAAUCUAAUCUCAGUAAGAGGUAAAAAUAGAGGAAUAUAUCUGUAAAUAUUACUAGCUACUAUUCAAAAAAUGCUUUAACAAGUUCCUAAACCAAUUGUGCAGACAAGCCCCAUAGAAGUCUUCCAGGUAAUUAUAAAAAUGUGAAUAUAAAGACAAUUGGGACCAGUACUGUUUUCAUAGUUUAAUAUAUUAAUUACAUCCUGGAACAUGUUCAUACUACAGCAUGCAUAUAACUUAAUAGUGUGCACACUAUGUCAGGAGAGGCUGCAAACAAAAAGAAGCUAGAAAGAAAUCUAGACAAUUCAAAAAUAUGGACAAAUAGAACUAAGAUAAGGUUACACUUAGAUAAAUACAAGAUAAACUAUGCUGCCUGGCACCAAUAUAAAAAUGAAAGCCAAACAGUAAGAUGGACAAGAAUCUAGUGAGGAUGGCAGAAAAGGUAUAUACAAGCUUGCAGUGCAGUACUAUUAAAAGCCUCCCAGGUUAUUAAAUGCAAGACCAGGAAAGUUAACUAUAGUUCUACAGCCUCACAAAUGCUACACUCAAUUUCUGGGGUCUUUUUCCUAAAAGGAUCAGUUCUAAUAAACUGAGAAGGGAGGGAAUGACUAAAUAGUUAGAGCUUUCAGAUGACGCUUGAAACGGAGUGCCUGACUGCAAGUGGUUAUUAAAAGGCAGCUGGAAUCACUGAACUCUAAGAAGUCAAAAUUAACUACUUAAGUCCAGGAAGGUUAAAGCUAUUUUGAGGCCCCUGUUAAGUUGCCUGACCAGGAGGCCUCUAUUGCUACUGCAUUACCUGCCAACAGACUGCAACUCUGGAAGGCAGAGCCUCCAAGAGGAAGGGAGGCAUUAGGCACACAGGAUCACCAAAACAAGUCAUUUAAAAACAGACUAAAACUAGUAUUCUAUUCAACUAACCCCUGCUUCUGAACAGCAAAGGUCAUAAAGGUACUGUACCAGUCUGACUUUGUCCAAGAAUGUAGGUGUUAGCAGAUGUUCUGAAUAAAUUCAAUCCCUAAUUAUAUAUUCUGCCUCUAUUAGAUAUGAUAUUUAGUCACUCUUCUGAAGUGUGGGCUCAUUGUGCUGCUAUCUUCCACCAGAGGUAGUCACAGUGAGACCCAUAUAUUUAAUACAUAUUUAGUUUGCACACAGCUUUGAGAAUUCUCAGGAUGAGAGUCAUAGUAUCUUACAUCAAUGUAAAUAUGAUAGUGUGCCUUUCACAGAACCUUUGCAUAUACUGCUUUCUUCCAGAUUGCUGUGGACUUCUCCUACAUCUAAACUUCCAUUGAGGAGGAAAGUUUCUAGUCUUCCUGUCUGCAAUGAAAGCCUUAACAGGCACUUGGAAUGCCAAGAUGACCUACAUGCUUUUGAGAGACACACAAGGGGAAGCUUGAGUCCAUAAGACAGAUGUUCAGUCCCACAUAAACCAUGGACUAAUUCUGAAAGAACUCUUUGCAACUACAAAGCUCA